CGUCGUGAGACAGUUCGGUCUCUAUCUGUUGUGGGCGUUUGAGAUUUGAGGGGGCCUGACACUAGUACGAGAGGACCGUGUUGGACGAACCGCUGGUUUAUCGGUUAUGCCGCCAGGCGUAUUGCCGAGUAGCUACGUUCGGUUGAGAUAAGUGCUGAAAGCAUCUAAGUACGAAGCUUGCCUCAAGUUUAGAUCUCAUUAUAAGGGUGGUUAUAGACGAUGACCUUGAUAGGCUACAGGUGUAAAGGCGGU
rnacentral:rRNA from 1 species